rnacentral:rRNA from 1 species
GAUCGGUUUAGAAAUAGACCUUCCUUCGGGCAAUUUUCAAGGUGCUGCAUGGUUGUCGUCAGCCCCCCGCCCUGAGGUGUUAGGUUAAGUCCUGCAACGAGCGCAACCCCUGUCACUAGUUGCCAUCAUUCAGUUGGGGACUCUAGUGAGACUGCCUACGCAAGUAGAGAGGAAGGUGGGGAUGACGUCAAAUCAUCACGGCCCUUACGCCUUGGGCCACACACGUAAUACAAUGGCCGGUACAGAGGGCAGCUACACAGCGAUGUGAUGCAAAUCUCGAAAGCCGGUCUCAGUUCGGAUUGGAGUCUCCCACUCGACUCUAUGAAGCUGGAAUCGCUAGUAAUCGCGCAUCAGCCAUGGCGCGGUGAAUACGUUCCCGGGCCUUGUACACACCGCCCGUCAAGCCAUGGAAGUCUGGGGUACCUGAAGUCGGUGACCGUAAAAGGAGCUGCCUAGGGUAAAACAGGUAACUAGGGCUAAGUCGUAACAAGGUAACC